rnacentral:rRNA from 1 species
UACGGGGGGGGCAAGCGUUGUUCGGAAUUACUGGGCGUAAAGGGCGCGUAGGCGGUCAGACCAAGUCGAGUGUGAAAUUCCAGGGCUUAACUCUGGCGCGCUCGCUCGAUACUGGUCGGCUAGAGUGUGGAAGAGGAUGCUGGAAUUCCCGGUGUAGCGGUGAAAUGCGCAGAUAUCAGGAGGAACACCGGUGGCGAAGGCGGGUCUCUGGGCCGAUACUGACGCUGAGGAGCGAAAGCGUGGGGAGCGAACAGG